UCACAAAUAAACAAAUGACUCGUUGUCAAAAAUUGGGGAACAAGAAGAUCUCAUUACCAAUAAACAAAGUUUUUAAAAGACCAAUGAAUCCAAUGUUCCACUAAUACUUGCAAUUUGCCAACAGGAAAAAAAGGAAAAACUUGGGAUUAUGUAAUUGUAUAUUGGGCCUAUUUAAGAUAACGAGCCCAGGCCCAUAUCAGAAUCUUAUCGAGGUAAAUGAUAAAAAAUGACAUUAUUGGCCUUUCGAGUUUCAGCGCCAUUGAAACGUUUCAAAAUCUUCACGGAGAGCUCCAAAAUCAGAGAGAGAUGUCUACGGAGAUCGGUCAUCUUCGUCGGAGAUUGGUCGAGUUUUUGAUUCAAUCUACUACUCAACUUGAACUUCCUCCGAUCGUUAAAUACUCAGCUCUAUCGCUCUUCUUUGAUCGAUUUCGUCCAAAUGUAGUCAGGUUUUUACAGAAAAAGAAAGCAGAACAUUGGCUAUUGCAACCUUUGACUGAGAGCAAUCUGCAGUUAUUUGUGUUAAUCUCCAUUUGGAUCUCAUGUAAAAUGCAUUGUACACGAGGUUUAUCGGUUCAUAGUCUUAAAUCCUUUGGGGAUAUUGUGAUUACAGAGCAACUCUUCAUGGUUCGCGAUUUCUUAGAUGCGGAACUAAUUUUUCUGAAGCAGGUUUUGAAGUUUGAGAUAGGCACUCUAAAUAUAGCUUAUACACUGCUUGAAGACCUUUUUAUUCAGUUCAAAGAAGUUGCAAAAGUUGGGGAUCAUUUGAACUUUGAAGCGUGUAUGGACAUGAUGGAUCUUCUUUACGAAAAAGAGGAGACAUCCCUUCUUUACAGAUAUUCAAAAUCUCUGGCUGCUUCCAUUUUGGUCUCUUCUUACAUAAUAACAGUGCCUAAACAGCAGUAUGAAUUCCCUAUCCUCCCCUGGGGUAAGCAUUCAUCUUUCUGCUCUUUCUAUCAAAACCAUUUUGUAAUUACAAUUACCAAUGAUAGAUAGAUUUGUAUGAAUCAAGUCAUAGGAUAUUGAAUAAGUUAGAAACAGGUUAUAGCAUAUAGGAUCAAUAAGGCCCAAUGUUCACCUUUUUGGCUAUGCAUUUCAACAUCAUACAAAAGAGUGUCUUGUUCACACAUCAAGGUCUUCUUCAUCUUUCCCCUUAGACCUGGACAUUGUAUGUUUCUCACCUAAUACUUAUUAUUAUGAAUUAUGAUAAUGAGCCAUCAAGGUUGACUUAUCAGUUUACGACCACCGGCCAUAUACGUAUACGGUUUACGGAUCAAUCAGAUCUUUUGUGGUCCAUAACAUUUUGCUAAACCUAACAUAUCUCUGGUCCGGGCCACUCAAAUAUUGUACCGGACCGUAUAAGAUAUAGGAAUAGGAGACAGUAAUAGUAGAAGUCACUAGUCAAGCGUCAGCAUUUUCUUUUUCUUAUUUAAAAACCAAACCUCAUUUUCAUGGAGUUAUAGCUGUAAUACACUCACACACACAAAAGAUAGAAAGAAGAAAAGUCUAUUUCUAUUUAUUUCAAGGGUCCCUCUCCAAAAUUUAUUCUUCUUCAUUUAUGGAGUCUACACUAAAUUGUUCUGAGAUUUGUUCUCUGUAUACCCUUUUUCAGUUUUUCACAUUUCAUGGUAACAAAUAGGAUCUCUUUCAAACAAUACCAAAUUCUAGAAGAGAUGAUUUAUGUGUAAAUCUUUCACCUACUCUUUCUUAUAUACACAUGUACAUGUUGAUCCACGUGUUAAAAUGGUGACAAAUAUGGAAGAAAAGGAAGUGGUGGAGCUUGUUGGAUACAUACUUUCUCAUGUCCUUUACUCGAAC